GAGGGUAUAGCUCAAGUGGUAGAGUGCAUGCUUAGCCUGCAUGAGGUCCUGGGUUCAAUCCCCAGUACCUCCU
rfam:Camelus ferus unplaced genomic scaffold scaffold811, whole genome shotgun sequence.